rnacentral:rRNA from 1 species
UAGGGAAUCUUCGGCAAUGGACGGAAGUCUGACCGAGCAACGCCGCGUGAGUGAAGAAGGUUUUCGGAUCGUAAAGCUCUGUUGUAAGAGAAGAACGAGUGUGAGAGUGGAAAGUUCACACUGUGACGGUAUCUUACCAGAAAGGGACGGCUAACUACGUGCCAGCAGCCGCGGUAAUACGUAGGUCCCGAGCGUUGUCCGGAUUUAUUGGGCGUAAAGCGAGCGCAGGCGGUUAGAUAAGUCUGAAGUUAAAGGCUGUGGCUUAACCAUAGUAGGCUUUGGAAACUGUUUAACUUGAGUGCAAGAGGGGAGAGUGGAAUUCCAUGUGUAGCGGUGAAAUGCGUAGAUAUAUGGAGGAACACCGGUGGCGAAAGCGGCUCUCUGGCCUGUAACUGACGCUGAGGCUCGAAGGCGUGGGGAGCAAACAGGAUUAGAUACCCUGGUAGUCCACGCUGUAAACGAUGAGUGCUAGGUGUUAGACCCUUUCCGGGGUUUAGUGCCGUAGCUAACGCAUUAAGCACUCCGCCUGGGGAGUACGACCGCAAGGUUG